rnacentral:rRNA from 1 species
AACGAACGCUGGCGGCAUGCCUAACACAUGCAAGUCGAACGAGACCUUCGGGUCUAGUGGCGCACGGGUGCGUAACGCAUGGGAACCUGCCCUUAGGUUCGGAAUAACUCCCCGAAAGGGGUGCUAAUACCGGAUAAUGUCUUCGGACCAAAGAUUUAUCGCCUUUGGAUGGGCCCGCGUUGGAUUAGCUAGUUGGUAGGGUAAAAGCCUACCAAGGCGACGAUCCAUAGCUGGUCUGAGAGGAUGAUCAGCCACACUGGGACUGAGACACGGCCCAGACUCCUACGGGAGGCAGCAGUGGGGAAUAUUGGACAAUGGGCGAAAGCCUGAUCCAGCAAUGCCGCGUGAGUGAUGAAGGCCUUAGGGUUGUAAAGCUCUUUUACCCGGGAUGAUAAUGACAGUACCGGGAGAUUAAGCUCCGGCUAACUCCGUG